UACGAAGGGGGCUAGCGUUGCUCGGAAUCACUGGGCGUAAAGGGUGCGUAGGCGGGUCUUUAAGUCAGGGGUGAAAUCCUGGAGCUCAACUCCAGAACUGCCUUUGAUACUGGGGGGCUUGAGUCCGGGAGAGGUGAGUGGAACUGCGAGUGUAGAGGUGAAAUUCGUAGAUAUUCGCAAGAACACCAGUGGCGAAGGCGGCUCACUGGCCCGGUACUGACGCUGAGGUGCGAAAGCGUGGGGAGCAAACAGG
rnacentral:rRNA from 1 species